CGGAUGACGGAGGGGGAGGAGGGAGAACGCUGCGGUUCCGCCUUAGUGCGCGUGCGCGUCUGUCGGGGCCUCUGUGGGAGUGUAACACGGAGGGAGAGAGGGUGGUUACGGAGAUAGCAGAUUCGAGUCCCGCCUUGUCAGUGCUGUUGGCUGGAUUCGGUAGGGUGGAGCGGCAGGGAGGAAUUUUGGGUCCUGGGCCGAGGAAGUGCUGAGAACACAGGAAUGAAUCAGACCGGCGGAAUACAGGUACAUUCUGACAGAAUUGAAGCACCUAAUGGGGUACACAAUAAAAAUGCAGAAAAUGAGUCUGAGAGAGAAGGUCCUUCCAGAAGUCCCCUAGCCAAGAAGCAGCAGGGCCUGGAUUCAAAUGCAAGCCUGUCUCACCACAGAGCAAGCCCACAUUUUUUUCCCCCGGCAGCGGGCAACCCGCCUAGUGGUGAGUCAGUGGUGCAAACAAGCACCCAGAGACCUGCCUUUUCUCAUAUUAAUGACAUGGUUGUGUGGAUGUACCAUGCUUUUUAUCCAUUUCCCUAUUGAUAAACAUUUAGGCUGUUUCUGAACUUUA